CGACAGGCUUAACACAUGCAAGUCGAGGGGCAGCACAGGUAGCAAUACCGGGUGGCGACCGGCGCACGGGUGAGUAACGCGUAUGCAACUUACCUAUCAGAGGGGGAUAACCCGGCGAAAGUCGGACUAAUACCGCAUGAAGCAGGGGCCCCGCAUGGGGAUAUUUGCUAAAGAUUCAUCGCUGAUAGAUAGGCAUGCGUUCCAUUAGGCAGUUGGCGGGGUAACGGCCCACCAAACCGACGAUGGAUAGGGGUUCUGAGAGGAAGGUCCCCCACAUUGGUACUGAGACACGGACCAAACUCCUACGGGAGGCAGCAGUGAGGAAUAUUGGUCAAUGGCCGAGAGGCUGAACCAGCCAAGUCGCGUGAGGGAUGAAGGUUCUAUGGAUCGUAAACCUCUUUUAUAAGGGAAUAAAGUGCGGGACGUGUCCCGUUUUGUAUGUACCUUAUGAAUAAGGAUCGGCUAACUCCGUGCCAGCAGCCGCGGUAAUACGGAGGAUCCGAGCGUUAUCCGGAUUUAUUGGGUUUAAAGGGUGCGUAGGCGGCCUUUUAAGUCAGCGGUGAAAGUCUGUGGCUCAACCAUAGAAUUGCCGUUGAAACUGGGGGGCUUGAGUAUGUUUGAGGCAGGCGGAAUGCGUGGUGUAGCGGUGAAAUGCAUAGAUAUCACGCAGAACCCCGAUUGCGAAGGCAGCCUGCCAAGCCAUUACUGACGCUGAUGCACGAAAGCGUGGGGAUCAAACAGGAUUAGAUACCCUGGUAGUCCACGCAGUAAACGAUGAUCACUAGCUGUUUGCGAUACACUGUAAGCGGCACAGCGAAAGCGUUAAGUGAUCCACCUGGGGAGUACGCCGGCAACGGUGAAACUCAAAGGAAUUGACGGGGGCCCGCACAAGCGGAGGAACAUGUGGUUUAAUUCGAUGAUACGCGAGGAACCUUACCCGGGUUUGAACGCAUUCGGACCGAGGUGGAAACACCUUUUCUAGCAAUAGCCGUUUGCGAGGUGCUGCAUGGUUGUCGUCAGCUCGUGCCGUGAGGUGUCGGCUUAAGUGCCAUAACGAGCGCAACCCUUGCCACUAGUUACUAACAGGUGAUGCUGAGGACUCUGGUGGGACUGCCAGCGUAAGCUGCGAGGAAGGCGGGGAUGACGUCAAAUCAGCACGGCCCUUACAUCCGGGGCGACACACGUGUUACAAUGGCGUGGACAAAGGGAGGCCACCUGGCGACAGGGAGCGAAUCCCCAAACCACGUCUCAGUUCGGAUCGGAGUCUGCAACCCGACUCCGUGAAGCUGGAUUCGCUAGUAAUCGCGCAUCAGCCAUGGCGCGGUGAAUACGUUCCCGGGCCUUGUACACACCGCCCGUCAAGCCAUGGGAGCCGGGGGUACCUGAAGUCCGUAACCGAAAGGAUCGGCCUAGGGUAAAACUGGUGACUG
rnacentral:rRNA from 1 species